GCGCUGAACCGUUGUAGUGCAACGGUUCAGCACACGCCUCUUGAUAGGAUGAAUCUGGGUUCGAAUCCCAGCUAACGCA